rnacentral:misc_RNA from 1 species
UCCGAGUUGACCCCGGCAGUCUUCUACGAGUCCCCGGCAUAAUCCGCUGGCAACAUAGAAUAAGGGUUGCGCUCGUUGCGGGACUUAACCCAACACCUCACGGCACGAGCUGACGACAGCCAUGCAGCAUCUGUGCAUGCUCUCUUGCGAGUCCCUCAGGUUUCCCUUCAGUACCACAUGCAUGUCAAGCCGAGGUAAGGUUCUGCGCGUUGCAUCGAAUUAAACCACAUGCUCCACCGCUUGUGCGGGCCCCCGUCAAUUCCUUUGAGUUUCAGCCUUGCGGCCGUACUCCCCAGGCGGGGCACUUAAUGCGUUAGCUCCGGCACGGGAGGAGUCGACACCUCCCACACCUAGUGCCCAUCGUUUACGGCGUGGACUAC